rnacentral:rRNA from 1 species
GAGAUCCCACGAGGGUGUCCAGUGCCGGAGAGAAGUUGUUAAGUUUGCCGCCUGGGAAGUAUGGCCGCAAGGCUGAAACUUAAAGGAAUUGGCGGGGGAGCACCGCAACGGGAGGAGCGUGCGGUUUAAUUGGAUUCAACGCCGGAAAACUCACCGGGGGCGACUGUUACAUGAAGGCCAGUUUAAAGACUUUGCCUAAUUUUCAGAGAGGUGGUGCAUGGCCGUCGUCAGUUCGUACCGCAAGGCGUUCUGUUAAGUCAGAUAACGAACGAGACCCCUGUCCUUAUUUGCUAAGUUUUCCUUCGGGAGGACAGCACUAUAGGGAGACCGCCACUGCUAAAGUGGAGGAAGGAGGGGGCAACGGUAGGUCAGUAUGCCCCGAAUCCCCCGGGCCACACGCGCGCUACAAAGGAUAGGACAAUGGGCUCCGACACCGAAAGGUGAAGGCAAUCCCGAAACCUAUUCAUAGUUCGGAUUGAGGGCUGUAACCCGCCCUCAUGAAGCUGGAUUCCGUAGUAAUCGCGGGUCAACAUCCCGCGGUGAAUAUGACCCUGCUCCUUGCACACACCGCCCGUCAAACCAUCCGAGUUGGGUCUAAGUGAGGGCUUCUCUUUCUGGGGAGUUCGAACUUGGGUUCGGCAAGGAGGGUUAAGUCGUAACAAGGUAGCC